rnacentral:rRNA from 1 species
GACAGAGGGUGCAAACGUUGUUCGGAAUUACUGGGCGUAAAGCGCGUGUAGGCUGCUCGGAAAGUCGGAUGUGAAAGCCCUGGGCUCAACCUAGGAAGUGCAUUCGAAACUUCCGAGCUGGAGUUCUGGAGAGGAAGGCGGAAUUCUCGGUGUAGAGGUGAAAUUCGUAGAUAUCGAGAGGAACACCGGUGGCGAAGGCGGCCUUCUGGACAGUGACUGACGCUGAGGAGCGAAAGCAUGGGGAGCGAACAGG